CGGGCCCGGCGCGGACGGCGGGCGAGCGCGGCGGUCACCUGGCCGGGUGUUGCGGGCGGCCGAGGGCUCUGGGACCGGGGGUUCAGGACCCAGGGAAAACUCUCGGGAACUUCAUCCCGUGGUGUUUCAGAAGGGCCUUUGACAGCGUCCCUGCGCAAACUGCGCUUGCGGUGGGAAAGGCCUGGGACCCCAGGUUCAGACAGCACCCUCGCCUGAGGAGGACAUAGCCAGAAGCGAACUUGCACAGGACUCUAACUCGGUAAACGCAGCAGCGCAGCGGAGUCGAGUUAGAGGCUUGGCCCGGCAGGCAUCGCGCAAGUAAGCCCGGGGGUCUAACCUGAUCCUGGCAUCCUGAGUAAAAUUAAUUCAAAGCAGUAAAUAACGAUUGCCAAUUACUUGCGAGUUACUAUGGGGGAGUACAAAAGUGAAUGGAACAAUCUACCCACCAAAAACUUAGAACCUGGUGGGGCAAGAAAGACACAAAACCGGUCAAAAUGUUAUAACAGGCUUUAAAAGUCCCCGGAGAACUUUGAGAUGAACAAGAUUAAUUAUAAAAAUAGAAAAGGUACUCUUUUAACUCUGUCUUAGAAAAUAGUUGCAUUUAAGUAGAGACGAUUAAAAAAGGGCUUUCCAAGUCGAGAAAACAGGGCAAGAAGGGGAAAAAUAUUAACUAAGGAUCUUUUACUUGUCAGGUGCUUUGUAUACAUGUUUGUGUGCGUUUACAUGGAUUGAGCAAAUAAGGUAUUUAAAAAGAAACAAGAUCCAAAGGCCAGAGAGCCUGGGGGAGAAAAUCCAAGAGAAGUUAUUUAACUUCCAGGGUCGUCCGUUAGGAGAGAAGCGCCUCGUGUACACAGCGCCCUGCUCUGACUUCACCGCUGUCUUCCUUGCUGGUCCCCACCCACUCCUGGCCCCUGGACACUGCAGGGGUCCUGCCUGGGCUUCCGCUACACUCACCCCUUGGCAAUCUCAAUCCCAUGACUUCGCACACUGGCCCUGUGCCGUGGCUCCACCUGCAUCUCCGUGUAGCUGAACUCCAGGCUCCAGCCCAGACAUGCAGGAAAAGAGAAAAACAAACAGAGGUUUCUUAACAUACACAUCAGGCCUGUACAUGGGACUACUCAGUGAGGGGUAUCUUAAAGGGGCAGUUAGUAUGUGGGAGUCCAGAUACUAAAUUAGUAGGGGCAAAGGAGGGAGGAGACAGGCACUGAUAGAAGAUAAGGUGACCUUUUUUUUGAGAGACAAAUGGGCCCGUAGGAGAAGAGACAGAGAUCUGAUAGUCUCCGGACAAUGUCUUUCUGGGUGUGGUGCCAAGAUUAGAACUGCAUCUGGGAGGGGACUCCUGAUAAUUGAGUUCUUUCCGGGAGGCUCUGCUUUUAGUCAGACAAGGGAUUUCAGAAACUCAAAUGCCUUUCGCUCCGAAUAAUCCGUAUGCCACGCGGGCAUGCUUUGGCAUGCCACAUCCUGGCCCUUCACUAGCCUCCGACCAGUCUCCCCGAGUCUUCCGCCUCGACCCCUUCUCAUAAAAUGGAGCACACGCCCAGGCCUCAGCGAGGGUCCCACGGAUGACACCCGUGUGGCAUCUGUCAAGUGCGUGGCAAAGGGAGCACACUGAGAGCAACUCGCCCGUGCGCUGCUGGUCCACCCAGCGCGGUACCAAGGCAACUCACAGCUCCAGCCUGCCCAGUGGGCCACGCCCCUCCCAGGAUGAAAACUCACAAAAAUCCCAUUAUUUUUCUGAUCACUCUUAGAUAAUAAAAUGUCCUGAAGUCACUUUAAGUUAGAAAAUAAAGUAUCAAUUCAGUCCAACAUAUUAAUCAACUCUUCAGUUGUUAAUCAAAGGUAAACAUCCCCCACUGCCCAGUUAGGACCACCUUUUGGUAUAUUUCCUGCCCUCAGGUGUUGCACGCUUCUCUUUCUUCAUAAUAUCUGAUCUGUUUCUAAUUUUUAACAGCUUUAUUGAGGUAUAAGUGACAUAUAUAAUAUCACAUAUAUUUUAAAUAUACAAUUUGAAACAUUUUAACAUGUAUACACUCAUCAAACCAUCACUCCAAUCAAGAUAAUCACCCCAA